UACGGGGGGGGCAAGCGUUGUUCGGAAUUACUGGGCGUAAAGGGCCAGUAGGCGGCCAACUAAGUCGGAUGUGAAAUCCCCAGGCUCAACUUGGGAACUGCAUCCGAUACUGGAUGGCUUGAAUUCGGGAGAGGGAUGCAGAAUUCCAGGUGUAGCGGUGAAAUGCGUAGAUAUCUGGAGGAACACCGGUGGCGAAGGCGGCGUUCUGGACUGUAACUGACACUGAGGAACGAAAGCCAGGGGAGCAAACGGG
rnacentral:rRNA from 1 species